GUAUUAAGGACUCUCAGGAAGCCUGGUCCUUCAGGGGUUUAUUUUGUUUGUUUAUUUGUUUUGUUUUGUUUUUUCUAUACACAGGGGAGAGGAUUCAAAUGCAGUAAUCAGUUUCUUGCUCUUUUUUUUUUCUUCUUAAAUAGAGACAGAGUCUCGCUCUAUUGCCCAGGCUGGUUUCAAAUUCCUGGGCUCAAACAAUCCUCAUGCCUCAGCCUCCGAAACUGCUGGGAUUACAGGCAUGAGCCCCGAUGCUUGGCCAAUUUUCUUGUUCUGUAAAGCUGCACUGCUUAAGCACAAGGCCAAAAUGAGGUCUCUCACCACUUCUGCCUGAACUAAACUUACCCAGUGAAUGCUGGGCUGGGCAGUCCAGUCUUCCCCACAUGUGGUAAUGUUCUGCUCUCAGUCAUGUUCUAACCACAAGGCAGCAAACACUGGCGCAGCUGAGCCCGAGGCUGGGGCUGCAGUCUGAACUUUUACAUUACUCAGUUAAUUACAAAGCCAGUCAAAUCACCCCAAAGAUCCACACACCCAAGAGUGCUGGAUAAGAAAAAAAUCCUGCAUAUCAAACCCCUUCUGGGGGAGAGACCAGGGAGAGCGUGGAAGAGAAGAGGUCUGGGGUAUGCAGUGGCUGGUGGCCUAGAGCAAUUCUAACCCAGGAGGCCUCAACAGGGAGCCUGCACCUGAAUGUUGGAAGAAGCAGGGUUUCCGUCAGUCUGUGUUGGCUUUAAAGGAACCAUCCUUCAUGCCCAAAGGAGGUUUAUUAUAAAGGACUUACAAAGGACAAAGACGAAGAGACACAUAGGGCAAGGUACCAGGGAAGGGGCACAGAGCUUCCAUGCCCUCCCUGGGCGCAUCACUCUACAGGAACCUCCCUGUGUUCAGCUAUCCAGAAGCUCUCCAAACUCCAUCCUCUUGGGCUUUAAUGGAAGCUUCGCAAGCCCUCAAGAUACAUGAAGCUGUGGGCCCUCAGAAACAUCUGGCUCAGCAGAAAUGACUGCAGGGUCUGCCUCUGAAGCCCAGCGUUUCUACUCCAUUUGGGAUAUUCCACACAGGAAGAGAAUUGGAAAUGCUGGAGGUAAGAGCUUUGGCAAUCGCUCUCCAAAAACCCUUGGAAACUCAAGUCAGCUUUGGCUGGGGAAGGGUACACAUUAGCUAUCUCUUCCAUACCCACCCAGUCCUUCCUGUUUCUGUUCAUUCUUCUUAUUCUUUCUAAUCCACACCUGCUCCCUCAGUCACACUUUCAGCCUCUGCCCUCUCCUGCUGACAGAGGGCUGUGAUCUCCCCUCCUCCCCAGGCUCCCCACGUCAGGCCGUCCUCCAGGAGUGGCUAUCCAUCUCUAAGGGCUUUCCGGACUGCUGCCCAGCAACUUCAACAGGCACCUCUAAUCGACGACCUCUCCUGCCUCCGCUGGUGUAGGGACGCCAGGCUUCUGAACAGCACUGCUCUCCUCAUUUGCCUUCAAGCUGGCCUAUCUUUCCUGCUGGUGGUGGUGGGCAGAGGCAAGGGUGUGGUCAGCUUUGAAAGAGAUUCCAUUCUUGGAAUAAAGUGAUCUAGCAAACAAAGUCUUCAAAAAAAAAAUACAUGAGGGGAAAAACAAUAAGCUGAACAUGAGCAGAAAACACAUUUUCUUGCAUUUGUGGUCAUCUUCUAUGAAGCACAGUAAGAAUCUUUGGAAGCCAGUCUUCAGGGCAAAAGGAUGGAGGAUGCAGCAUCAUGAGUAUCCAGAGAGUCAGGAUGAAGUUGUUCUUGGGAACUGCAGAGACAAGCAGUUCUAUAUGGUUUCAACACAAAUGGGCUAGGAAGAACCCUGGCACCGUGAGCAAUAAUAGUGUCACUACCUUUUUCUAGAGGUGGGAGACAAAAACUUAGCCAGACACAUUCAACAGUAAGACUCAACAAAGAAUCUUCAUAUUCAUGGACAGAAACUAAAUCUGCCACAUUUCUAGUAAGGUUCUUUCUUGGUUAAUUAAAUGUAUUAAUCUCUUCCAAUUUCUAUGUGCUAUUUGUCCUCAUUCCCCAAAGAUUAUGGCUUAGCUCAGUGUCUGCAGGUGAUUGUUCUUCUCUUGUUGCAGGUAAAAUCAUCCACGAUGCCCUCCAAUAUCAUUCCCAAUCAGUUUCCUGUUUCCCCUUCUCUUGCAGAAGCUCUGGAAGCCCACAGAGAACAGAUGCAUAAACACCAUUUACCAGACACAGCUCAGCAAACCCUCUCUCUCUUCCUUCCAGCAGCUUGGUUGUCCUCAAGGAGUUCCUAAAUUUCAUACUUCUGAGGGUUAUAUGGGAUGGUGAGGGGUGGAGGAGAGUAGCACGGAUUGAAAAAUACAUUAAUGUUGGCUGGGCACAGUGGCUCACACCUGUAAUCCCAGCGCUUUGGGAGGCCGAGGCUGGUAGAUCACCUGAGGUCAGGAGUUUGAGACCAGCCUGGCCAACAUGGCGAAACCCCAUCUCUACUAAAAAUACAAAAUUUAGCUGGGUGUGAUGGCACAUGCUUGUAAUCCCAGCUACUCAGGAGGCUGAGGCAGGAGAAUCGCUUGAACCCAGGAAGCGGAGGUUGCAGUGAGCUGAGAUUGCAGCAUUGCACUCCAGCCUGGGCAACAAGAGAGAUGCUCCAUCUUAAAAAAAAAAAGAAAAAUACAUUAAAGUGUACCAAAAUAAAUAUAUGACAGCUUUUAAAUUAUUUUCCAUGGGAAAAAAACUUAUAAUUAGUGACAAUUACUUACUGAGGGCCUGCUGGGCUAGACAUUAUGGACAUUGUGAAAGAUAAAAAGUUCAAGACACAGACUCUGUUUUCAGGAUGUGUACGCUUUAAAUAUGAAGUUAACACAGGGCAGAAAAGUAGAUACACACAUGCACACACAUACCUAUACACACAUACCUACACACACACACACACACACACACACACACAAAUACUCCUCAGACCCAAAGGACGGAGACAUCACAAUGAACAAGAUGAACAAUUGGUAGGAUUUUAAAAGACUAUUUUCUUUUUCAGCAAGGAGGAUGGAGUGGGCAGGUAGGGGAUGGUAUUUAUUUCCCAAGCAAAUCAAUUAGAAAAAAUAUUUGUAUUUCAGUAAAUUUAUUUUUUUCAAUCUUCAGAUAUAAGAAGGCUUUUCCAUGAAAAACACUCUAUUUA
rnacentral:lncRNA from 10 species